UGGAGCAAUCCAUGAGUAAAGUGGCGACCGGGUGAGUAACACGUGACUAACCUACCUUCGAGUGGGGGAUAACAUCGGGAAACCGAUGCUAAUACCGCAUAACAUCGCAAGAUCAAAGCAGCAAUGCGCUUGAAGAGGGGGUCGCGGCUGAUUAGCUAGUUGGUAGGGUAAUGGCCUACCAAGGCUUAGAUCGGUAGCCGGCCUGAGAGGGCGCACGGCCACACUGGAACUGAAACACGGUCCAGACUCCUACGGGAGGCAGCAGUGGGGAAUUUUGCGCAAUGGGGGAAACCCUGACGCAGCAACGCCGCGUGGAGGAUGAAGUCCCUUGGGACGUAAACUCCUUUCGACCGGGAAGAUACUGACGGUACCGGAAGAAGAAGCACCGGCUAACUCUGUGCCAGCAGCCGCGGUAAUACAGAGGGUGCGAGCGUUGUUCGGAAUUAUUGGGCGUAAAGGGCGCGUAGGCGGCGCGGUAUGUCACCUGUGAAAUCUCCUGGCUCAACUGGGAGCUUGCAGGCGAAACUGCCGUGCUGGAGUGUGGGAGAGGUGCGUGGAAUUCCUGGUGUAGCGGUGAAAUGCGUAGAUAUCAGGAGGAACACCUGUGGCGAAAGCGGCGCACUGGACCACAACUGACGCUGAGGCGCGAA
rnacentral:rRNA from 1 species